rnacentral:rRNA from 1 species
UACGAAGGGGGCUAGCGUUGUUCGGAUUUACUGGGCGUAAAGCGCACGUAGGCGGAUUCUUAAGUCAGAGGUGAAAUCCCAAGGCUCAACCUUGGAACUGCCUUUGAUACUGGGGAUCUUGAGUCCGGAAGAGGUGAGUGGAACUGCGAGUGUAGAGGUGAAAUUCGUAGAUAUUCGCAAGAACACCAGUGGCGAAGGCGGCUCACUGGUCCGGUACUGACGCUGAGGUGCGAAAGCGUGGGGAGCAAACAGGG